GAUGAACGCUGGCGGCGCGCCUAACACAUGCAAGUCGAACGAUUAAAGCACCUUCGGGUGUGUAUAAAGUGGCGAACGGCUGAGUAACACGUGGGCAACCUGCCCCUCUCAUUGGGAUAGCCACGGGAAACCGUGGAUAAUACCGAAUACUUCGAGUCUCCCGCAUGGAAGACUCGAGAAAGCUCCGGCGGAGAGGGAUGGGCCCGCGGCCUGUUAGCUUGUUGGUGGGGUAACGGCCUACCAAGGCAAUGAUGGGUAGCUGGGUUGAGAGACCGACCAGCCAGAUUGGGACCGAGACACGGCCCAGACUCCUACGGGAGGCAGCAGUGGGGAAUCUUGCACAAUGGGCGAAAGCCUGAUGCAGCGACGCCGCGUGCGGGAUGAAGGCCUUCGGGUUGUAAACCGCUUUCAGCAGGGACGAGGCGAAAGUGACGGUACCUGCAGAAGAAGCCCCGGCUAACUACGUGCCAGCAGCCGCGGUAAUACGUAGGGGGCAAGCGUUAUCCGGAUUCAUUGGGCGUAAAGCGCUCGUAGGCGGUCUGUUAGGUCGGGAGUUAAAUCCGGGGGCUCAACCCCCGUUCGCUCCCGAUACCGGCAGACUUGAGUUUGGUAGGGGAAGGUGGAAUUCCUAGUGUAGCGGUGGAAUGCGCAGAUAUUAGGAAGAACACCAGUGGCGAAGGCGGCCUUCUGGGCCAUAACUGGCGCUGAGGAGCGAAAGCUAGGGGAGCAAACAGG
rnacentral:rRNA from 1 species